UGAUUGUUUGAAGAUGAAAAACCUCUAAAACCACAGCCCAAACUUUCCCUCCUCAGAAACGGCCCCUUUCGACUUUCGAUUCUCUUCUUCCAUUUCGUCUUCCCUUUCAAAAUCGACCUUCAAAUUGAAUCAUCGCUCUCAAAAUUCACCAAUCCCUUGCGGACUCCCAUCUUAAAUCAAUCUCACCUAUAGAUUUGGGUUCGCCCAUUCCUUUUUGCGCGCAAUGGAGUGGAACCCAGAAACCCUACAGCUCCUCUCUCAGUGUUUUCUUCACACUCUUUCUCCAGCCCCUGGCCCCCGCCGCAGUGCUGAAGCUUCUCUUGCUGAAGCCGCCGACCGUCCCAACUACGGUCUUGCUGUUCUUCGUCUCGUCGCUGAACCAUCUGUCGAUGAACAGAUCCGUCAAGCCGCCGCCGUCAACUUCAAAAAUCAUUUACGGGUUCGAUGGGCACCUGGUGCGCCCGACGAGUCAAAUGCUUCUCCUUUGGGUCCGAUUCCCGAUUCUGAGAAGGAACAAAUUAAAGCCCUAAUUGUCCCGCUUAUGCUAUCCUCUACUCAACGAAUCCAGAGUCAGCUGAGCGAGGCUUUGGCUUUGAUUAGUAAACACGACUUCCCGAAAUCGUGGCCUUCUUUGCUACCGGAGCUCGUUGUAAGUCUGCAAAAGGCGUCUCAGGCUUCCGACUAUGCAUCUGUUAACGGUAUUCUUGGUACUGCAAAUUCUAUAUUUAAAAAGUUUCGGUAUCAAUAUAAAACCAAUGAUCUUUUGCUUGAUUUGAAGUAUUGUCUGGACAAUUUUGCGGCACCCUUAUUAGAAUUUUUUCUUAAAACUGCUGCUUUAAUUGAUUCUGCGGUGAACUCGGGCGCACUGGCGGCCACCUUGCGGCCACUGUUCGAGUCCCAGAGGCUUUGUUGUAGAAUAUUUUUCUCGUUGAAUUUUCAAGAGCUUCCCGAGUUCUUCGAGGAUCAUAUGAAAGAAUGGAUGGGUGAAUUCCGGAAAUAUCUAACUACGAAUUAUCCUGCACUUGAAAACAGUGGUACCGAUGGGGUUGCUCUGGUUGAUGAGCUUCGUGCUGCAGUUUGCGAGAAUAUUAAUCUUUAUAUGGAAAAGAAUGAAGAAGAGUUUCAGGGGUACUUAAAUGAUUUUGCACUGGCAGUUUGGGGCUUACUCGGGAACGUAUCUCAGUCGUCAAGCCGAGACCAGCUGGCUGUUACGGCAAUGAAGUUUUUGACUACUGUUAGCACGAGUGUACACCACACUUUAUUUGCAGGCGAGGGAGUGAUACCUGAGAUUUGUAAGAGCAUAGUAAUUCCCAAUGUAAGGCUGAGGGAUGAAGAUGAGGAACUAUUUGAUAUGAACUAUGUGGAAUUCAUUAGGAGGGACAUGGAAGGUAGCGAUUUGGAUACUAGGAGGAGGAUAGCUUGUGAGCUUCUCAAAGGAAUUGCAACCAAUUACAAAAAACAGGUGACAGACAUGGUAUCCUCUCAGAUUCAAAACUUACUAAAUUCAUUUGGGCUAAAUCCUGCUCUGAAUUGGAAAGAUAAAGAUUGUGCCAUAUAUUUGGUUGUCUCACUUUCCACAAAGAAAGCUGGGGGUUCUUCUGUUUCCACCGAUCUUGUUGAUGUUCAAAAUUUCUUUGGCUCAGUAAUUAUUCCAGAAUUGAAAAAUUCUGAUGUUAAUGGUCUACCAAUGCUCAAGGCAGGGGCGCUCAAGUUCCUUGCUGUGUUCCGUAAUCUGAUAUCAAAACCUAUUGCGUUACAAAUGUUUCCUGAUUUGGUUCGAUUCCUUGGUUCUGAGUCAAAUGUGGUUCAUUCCUAUGCUGCAAUUUGUGUUGAAAAAUUAUUGCUGGUCAAGGAGGAUUCAGGUGUGGCCAGGUAUAACUCUUUGGAUAUUGCUCCAAUUUUUCCUGAGAUGAUGACUAAACUCUUCAAUGCCUUUAAGUUUCCCGAAUCUGAAGAGAACCAGUACAUUAUGAAGUGUAUAAUGAGAGUUCUUGGAGUUGCUGACAUAUCUCGUGAGGUUGCUGGACCGUGCAUUGUUGGGUUGACUUCUAUUUUGAAUGAAGUGUGCAGAAACCCCAAAAAUCCUGUUUUUAACCACUAUAUGUUUGAAUCUGUGGCCCUUCUGAUUAGAAGGGCUUGUGAAAGGGAUCCCUCUUUAAUAUCACAUUUUGAGACAAACCUAUUUCCCAGCCUUCAAAUGAUUCUAGCCAAUGAUGUUACGGAGUUCUUCCCUUAUGCUUUUCAACUGUUGGCACAACUUGUUGAAUUGAAUAAUCCUCCUAUUCCAGCAAGCUAUGUUCAGAUUUUUGAGAUCCUACUGUCACCCGAAUCAUGGAAAAGAGCCUCUAAUGUCCCAGCACUUGUACGGUUACUUCAGGCUUUCCUCCAGAAGGCACCUCAUGAACUUAAUCAAGUUGGGCGCCUGAGCCAGGUUCUUGGAAUAUUUAGUAAUCUAGUCUCAUCUCCAAGCACUGCAGAGCAAGGCUUUUAUGUGCUCAACACUGUUAUCGAUUCUCUUGAAUACAGUGUGAUUGAACAGUACAUUGGCCACAUCUGGGCUGUUCUUUUUGGACAGCUCCAAAGUAGACGGACAGUAAAGUUCAUCAAAUCACUUUUGAUAUUCAUGUCCCUUUUUCUUGUUAAACACGGUCAAAAAAAUCUGUUGGAUACUAUCAACUGUGUUCAGAACGGCAUCUUUAUCCAGAUCUUGAGGCAGUUUUGGAUACCUAAUCUUAAACUAAUAACUGGGGCCAUUGAACUGAAGUUAUCUGCAGUUGCUUCAACCAGACUUAUCUGUGAGUGUCCAGCACUUUUGGAUCCUGCAUUUGUUGAAGACUGGGGGAAAAUGCUGGAUAGCAUUGUUACCCUUCUUUCUCGACCUGAACAGGAGAGGGUUGAUGAGGAGCCAGAGAUGCCCGAUAUUUCUGAAAAUGUUGGUUAUAGUGCAAGCUUUGUUCGUCUAUACAAUGCAGGGAAGAAGGAGGAUGAUCCUCUGAAAGAUAUUAAGGAUCCAAAGCAAUUUCUGGUAGCAUCUUUGUCUAAGCUUUCUAGCCUUUCUCCUGGGAGAUAUCCCCAAGUCAUCAGUCAGUAUCUUGACCCGACAAAUCAAUCUGCAUUGCUUCAGUUUUGCAGAUCUUAUAAUUGCCCAAUUGCUUGACAACCUGUUGGGAUGUGGGAAUGAAUAUUAUUUAUUUGCUGCUCAAGCUAUUCAACCUUCUGCUCUGAAGUUGGAGAUGAAAUCAAUCAACAUGCUUAACUGACCUAAUUACGUAUCUUCAUGAUUUUGUGCUGAAUUGAAGCAGGUUUUUGUGGAGAAGUUGAUCUUUAAUCAUAUUUACCUCUUGGUGUUGUUCCGACUUGGUGACCAAAUUCAAAUUUUAGAUCAUCGUUGGCUUCUACAAAGUGUGGUAUGAUGUGGAAGAUUCUGCUAGUUCGAGUUGGCGGGUGAGGCCAUCAAACACAGUUUACCAAGUUUUGGUACAAGACUUCCAUCCCCUUCAUUCUCUUUAUGUUGUCAUGUUUACCUGUCUGUCAUUUUGUGCAUGCAUUCAUGUGAGCAAAUUUGUAGAUGGUUCAUUGCGGUCUAAGAGUGUAUUAUGGCAUCGAGUUUUUGCUUUCUCUUUUGCUCCUACGUUGAAAUUUCCUUUGUCAUUUUGACAUCACAUGUAAGCACUUGUAUCUCAUUGCUCGAUAUCCAACUGCAAGUUUAUAUAUCAGUUGUUUAUUGUGGCUGUGGUUGGUGUAGAAA